rnacentral:rRNA from 1 species
GGGAACAUACCCUUUUCUACGGAAUAGCUCUGGGAAACUGGAAUUAAUACCGUAUACGCCCAACGGGGGAAAGAUUUAUCGGGGAAGGAUUGGCCCGCGUUGGAUUAGCUAGUUGGUGGGGUAAAGGCCUACCAAGGCGACGAUCCAUAGCUGGUCUGAGAGGAUGAUCAGCCACAUUGGGACUGAGACACGGCCCAAACUCCUACGGGAGGCAGCAGUGGGGAAUAUUGGACAAUGGGCGCAAGCCUGAUCCAGCCAUGCCGCGUGAGUGAUGAAGGCCUUAGGGUUGUAAAGCUCUUUCACCGAUGAAGAUAAUGACGGUAGUCGGAGAAGAAGCCCCGGCUAACUUCGUGCCAGCAGCCGCGGUAAUACGAAGGGGGCUAGCGUUGUUCGGAAUUACUGGGCGUAAAGCGCACGUAGGCGGAUAUUUAAGUCAGGGGUGAAAUCCCAGAGCUCAACUCUGGAACUGCCUUUGAUACUGGGUAUCUUGAGUAUGGAAGAGGUAAGUGGAAUUGCGAGU